UAGGCCACGGAGGACCUGAUCCCGUUUUUUAGCUGAAUAUCAAAAUUUUAGUAUCAUGGCUAUCUUGUAAGUUGUUACACAUAUUAGAAAUCAAGUUUUUCAAAUUAUUUUACAAAUUAAAAAUAAACCUGUAAAUUGUUAAGGUUAUCCAUAAAACUCCGGAAAACCGAUUACAAUUUACAAAUGUUGAUUAUAAAACUACACCUGUUUAAAAAUGUUUAAAAAUAUUUGAAAAAAAGCAUCAAGUUGGUAGGCUUCUUGAGCACAAGGGCCGGAGAAAUUAUUCAUCUCUUGAUGAGGGUCUUCUAGUUCGCAUUAAAUGAUCAAUAAUUUAGACGUGCAUAAAGUCGGAUAUUUUUUUUGUGAAAUUGGUAGGGUGUAAGACUAUUUUUUUAGACAAAAUUACAAAAAUCGUCCCUGUGAUAUUCAAUUUUUUUGGGGUUUAUUUUUUUUGGCUUCAUAGUUCUUUUGAAUUAGCUUCGUUGCAUUUUUUAUUUAUUUUUCAUUUUUCUUUCAUUCUCUCUCUCUCCCCGAAGCACCCUCCCAGUUCAUCUUCUGCAACCUAUUCUUCUUUACUAGUUUACCCUCAUCUCUUUUUUUUUCUCUCCAUCGCAAUGGUUGUGUUCUUCCUAGAAUUAAAAACUGGAAAAUGUUUGAAAAUUGAAUUCCAUCACAUAGGUGAUUAACAAUCAUUUUAUAUCGCCUUAAAUUAGUGGAUCUUCUUCUCUAUCAUCACCAGAGCAUACUCUGAUUCUGAUUUAGCUUCCUCAAUUUAAUGGAGCUUCUUGGUAAGGAUUUGUUUUCUUCAACAUCUAGCCGAAUCUGAUUUAAGGUUUCAAAACCCAAGGCUGUUUUAUUCAACAUCUAGCCGACUCUGAUUUAGGGUUUUAGAACCCAAGGCGGUGGCUCUGGUGUGUGAUUAAGCUCUCCAGAACCACAAUAAUAGGAUUGUUUCUGGGUAUUGUGUAGUUGCUGCCCUUCUAGUGAUGCCAAUAUUACAAUCGGUAGUUUUUGGGCCAGAGCAUAAGAUUUCCAUCACAUGUGUCACCAAGAACAAAGAGCUGAUUGCAAACUCAGUGGCCAAUUUGGGAAGAUCGCCAUUAACAUAUCUUGACUAGCAAGCUUACGACAAAGACGAAGCUCAGGUUAGAGACCGGCCAUGGAAACGCCUUCAAGAAAGCAUCGAUGUAAGCUACUAUAACAAUGGCUAAUUUAGGCUUUUUAUGGUUUUUCUAUUUCACGAAACAAUAGCAGUUUUUCCUGGUGGGUUCAUUGUCUUGAGUUGCAAGUCCAUGGUAUUGAAUCGAGAUUUGCAGUUUCUGCAAAGCUUUGUAUAGGAUCUAAGAUUUUUGAGGUUUUCGAGCUCGGAUUCGGUUCACAAGUAAUUCGGUUUCUGCAAGCUUGUUGUCCUUCAUCAUCUACAACGAAUUGAGGGAACAAAGGAUGCAGACGGCUCUAGUUUGUCCUCAUCUUCAUCUUUAUUGAGUUGUGUAUGUUUGUAUGUGUUUGUAUGUGUGUGUGAUCUGCGUAUGUAUAUGUGUUAUAUUCUAACUUUUUAGUAGAGUUUAGAGAGAUAAAAAAGGAAAUAGGAAGAAGAUGAAGUAAAAAGUGUGCACAUGAGAGAGAGAGAUAUGUGGGCCUAAAUUAUUUAUUUAUUUUCUUUUUCAUUUAAAUUAAAUAGAAAAAUAUAAAAAAAAAUAUAUCAGAA